UGGGGAAUCUUGCACAAUGGGGGCAACCCUGAUGCAGCGACGCCGCGUGAGCGAUGAAGCCCUUCGGGGCGUAAAGCUCUUUCGACCGGAACGAUAAUGACGGUACCGGGAGAAGAAGCUGCGGCUAACUACGUGCCAGCAGCCGCGGUAAUACGUAGGCAGCAAGCGUUGUUCGGGGUUACUGGGCGUAAAGAGUGCGUAGGCGGUCUUCUAAGUUCGGUGUGAAAUCUCCCGGCUUAACUGGGAGGGUGCGCCGAAGACUGGGAAGCUGGAGUGUGGGAAAGGCAGGCGGAAUUCCUGGUGUAGCGGUGAAAUGCGUAGAUAUCAGGAGUAACACCGGCGGUGUAGACGGCUUGCUAGACCAUAACUGACGCUGAGGCACGAAAGCGUGGGUAGCAAACA
rnacentral:rRNA from 1 species